GAAGGCUCCGGAGGGGCUGGGGGAGCUGACUGCCAAGCAGACAGUCGGACCGACGGAUUGUCGGACACUCUCUCUCAUGGACUGAUGAAAAACAACUCAAGGAACAAAAUAUUAUCCGAACAGCCAAAGUCUGGACCCCAGAGGACCCCAGAAAACUCAACAGCAAAUCUUCCUUCAACAACAUAGAAAACGAACCACCAUUUGAGUUUGUGUCCUGAGAAGUCCCAGACUCGGCUGAAGAUCUGAUUAUGUCUCUGUGCAUAUUGUACAUGUAAAUAUCUAUAAUGUAAAUGUAAUUUAAGAAUCAAAUUUUUCGAAUGGCAAUCAACUGUUUAUUAUUUAUCUAUUUAUUAUCCUGUUGAGUUGAUGAAAUAGAUGAUUUCUUUUUAAAUAUAUAAUUUAUAUAACUUAUCCUGAUUUUCUGAAAAUAUGCAAUAGCCUAUGAUUUUCCUGAACUCUGUGUUGUUGGGAGAAC
rnacentral:lncRNA from 1 species